AAACUCUGGAGAGUCUCAAAAUGGGCGCCGAAGGUGUACGGCAGGCAGCGAUGCCUGUUAAUCUCUCAGGCAAAAGGACAGAGCA
rnacentral:ncRNA from 1 species